AUUGCCCCAGUAACGGCGAGUGAAGCGGCAACAGCUCAAAUUUGAAAUCUGGCUCUCGGGCCCGAGUUGUAAUUUGUAGAGGAUGCUUUUGGUGAGGUGCCUUCCGAGUUCCCUGGAACGGGACGCCAUAGAGGGUGAGAGCCCCGUCUGGUUGGACACCGAUCCUCUGUAAAGCUCCUUCGACGAGUCGAGUAGUUUGGGAAUGCUGCUCUAAAUGGGAGGUAUAUGUCUUCUAAAGCUAAAUACCGGCCAGAGACCGAUAGCGCACAAGUAGAGUGAUCGAAAGAUGAAAAGAACUUUGAAAAGAGAGUUAAAAAGUACGUGAAAUUGUUGAAAGGGAAGCGCUUGUGACCAGACUUGGGCUUGGUUGAUCAUCCGGGGUUCUCCCCGGUGCACUCUUCCGGCUCAGGCCAGCAUCAGUUCGCCCUGGGGGAUAAAGGCUUCGGGAAUGUGGCUCUCUCCGGGGAGUGUUAUAGCCCGCUGCGUAAUACCCUGUGGCGGACUGAGGUUCGCGCAUUCGCAAGGAUGCUGGCGUAAUGGUCAUCAGUGACCCGUCUUGAAACACGGACCAAGGAGUCGUCUUCGUAUGCGAGUGUUCGGGUGUCAAACCCCUACGCGAAAUGAAAGUGAACGCAGGUGAGAGCUUCGGCGCAUCAUCGACCGAUCCUGAUGUUAUCGGAUGGAUUUGAGUAAGAGCAUACGGGGCCGGACCCGAAAGAAGGUGAACUAUGCCUGUGUAGGGUGAAGCCAGAGGAAACUCUGGUGUAGGCUCGCAGCGGUUCUGACGUGCAAAUCGAUCGUCAAACAUGGGCAUGGGGGCGAAAGACUAAU
rnacentral:rRNA from 2 species